UUCUUUGCGACACCUUUGUAUCCUUUGUGAUCGUUUUGUCAGCGUAAUCAUCAUAUAUACAUAUACAUAUACAUUCAUACAAUUUCAUAAUUUGCAUAUCUCGCAUCUUCAUAUUUGAUUUCUUUGAGAUUCUUAUUCUCUGUUAUGGUGGUAUUUUAUCCCCAUAUCAAAUCUGGUGUCUGUCCUUCUUUAAUUGUAGAGUGUCAGCCCCUCAAGCAGAAAUACUUUAACCUUUCUC
rnacentral:lncRNA from 1 species